rnacentral:miRNA from 1 species
GGGAUGGGAGGAGUAGG